ACUCCUACGGGAGGCAGCAGUGGGGAAUAUUGCACAAUGGGGGAAACCCUGAUGCAGCCAUGCCGCGUGUGUGAAGAAGGCCUUCGGGUUGUAAAGCACUUUCAGUAGGGAGGAAGGUAGUGUAGUUAACACCUGCACUAUUUGACGUUACCUACAGAAGAAGCACCGGCUAACUCCGUGCCAGCAGCCGCGGUAAUACGGAGGGUGCGAGCGUUAAUCGGAAUUACUGGGCGUAAAGCGCAUGCAGGCGGCCUGUUAAGUCAGAUGUGAAAGCCCGGGGCUUAACCUCGGAAUUGCAUUUGAAAACUGGCAGGCUAGAGUCUUGUAGAGGGGGGUAGAAUUUCAGGUGUAGCGGUGAAAUGCGUAGAGAUCUGAAGGAAUACCAGUGGCGAAGGCGGCCCCCUGGACAAAGACUGAACGCUCAGAUGCGAAAAGCGUGGGGAG
rnacentral:rRNA from 1 species